CGAGUGAGGGUCCUCGUGGCCCAACCUCCCACCCGUGACUAUUGUACCUUUGUUGCUUCGGCGGGCCCGCCAGCCCCGUGCUGGCCGCCGGGGGGCCUUGUGCCCCCGGGUCCGCGCCCGCCGGAGACCCCAACAUGAACACUGUUCUGAAAGCCUGUAUGAAUCCGAUUCUUUGUAAUCAGUUAAAACUUUCAACAAUGGAUCUCUUGGUUCCGGCAUCGAUGAAGAACGCAGCGAAAUGCGAUAACUAAUGUGAAUUGCAGAAUUCAGUGAAUCAUCGAGUCUUUGAACGCACAUUGCGCCCCCUGGUAUUCCGGGGGGCAUGCCUGUCCGAGCGUCAUUGCUGCCCUCAAGCCCGGCUUGUGUGUUGGGUCCUCGUCCUCCCCUCGCGGGGGGACGGGCCCGAAAGGCAGCGGCGGCACCGCGUCCGGUCCUCGAGCGUAUGGGGCUUUGUCACCCGCUCUGUAGGCCCGGCCGGCGCCAGCCGACGCAAAUCACCUUUUUUUUCAGGUUGACCUCGGAUCAGGUAGGGAUACCCGCUGAACUUAAGCAUAUCAAUAAGCGGAGGAAAAGAAACCAACCGGGAUUGCCUCAGUAACGGCGAGUGAAGCGGCAAGAGCUCAAAUUUGAAAGCUGGCUCCUUCGGGGUCCGCAUUGUAAUUUGCAGAGGAUGCUUCGGGCGCAGCCCCCGUCUAAGUGCCCUGGAAUGGGCCGUCGGAGAGGGUGAGAAUCCCGUCUGGGAUGGGGUGCCUGUGUCCGUGUGAAGCUCCUUCGACGAGUCGAGUUGUUUGGGAAUGCAGCUCUAAAUGGGUGGUAAAUUUCAUCUAAAGCUAAAUAUUGGCCGGAGACCGAUAGCGCACAAGUAGAGUGAUCGAAAGAUGAAAAGCACUUUGAAAAGAGAGUUAAACAGCACGUGAAAUUGUUGAAAGGGAAGCGCUUGCGACCAGACUCGCUCGCGGGGUUCAGCCGGCAUUCGUGCCGGUGUACUUCCCCGUGGGCGGGCCAGCGUCGGUUUGGGCGGCCGGUCAAAGGCCUCCGGAAUGUAGCGCCCUUCGGGGCGCCUUAUAGCCGGGGGUGCAAUGCGGCCAGCCUGGACCGAGGAACGCGCUUC
rnacentral:misc_RNA from 1 species